CAGCAGCCGCCGCGGGAAUACGUAGGUGGCAAGCGUUGUCCGGAAUUAUUGGGCGUAAAGGGCUCGCAGGCGGUUUCUUAAGUCUGAUGUGAAAGCCCCCGGCUCAACCGGGGAGGGUCAUUGGAAACUGGGAAACUUGAGUGCAGAAGAGGAGAGUGGAAUUCCACGUGUAGCGGUGAAAUGCGUAGAUAUUCGGAAGAACACCAGUGGCGAAGGCGACUCGCUGGACAAGUAUUGACGCUGAGGCUCGAAAGCGUGGGGAGCGAACAGGAUUAGAUACCCCUGUAGUCCCUGUCUCUUAUAC
rnacentral:rRNA from 1 species